UAGAAGACGAAGAAGAAGA
rnacentral:sRNA from 1 species